CCGGAGCAGGUGGAGGAAGAAGGGGCUGGCAAGCGAUAUGAGAAGCAACAAGAAGGGCUUCUGCUGCUACGUAAAUAGUAAAUCAGGCAAGGAAAGCACGUGCCGGCUUGCCAGGCGGGUUGAGUGAUACAGGAAGAGCAAAGGCAGGCAAAGCCGAGGUACUCGGUGCCUUCUUCAUCUCGGUCUUCCCUGACACUCUUGCCAGGCACUUUAGCCUAGAGGCCGGGGCUCAAGGAGCAGAGGAAUUCCAGCGGCAAGAGGACGUUCAGCUCGGGGGGUCUCCUGGGAAAUCUUGUCCCAUACACGUCAGCCGACCCUGGUGGGAUUUGUCUGAGGGUGUUGAGAGGGCUGGCUGGUGUCGCUGUGAGGCCGCUCUCUGUCGCCUCUGAAAGGUCGUGGAGCUUGGGGGAGGCACCAAAGACUAGAGAGCGCCAAAUGUUGCACCCCAUCUUUAAAAAAGGCAAGAGGAUGGUGUGAGGAACUCCAGGACAGUCCUCCUCGCUUCUGCCCCUGGGGAAAGCAUGGACCGAGUCCUCUCGGUAGCUAUUUGUGGCCACGUGAGAAAGCAACACGGGUGGGGAUAGCAACGGCAACGACAUUGUUAGAAAUAGCAAGACUGCUUCUGCACUUUUCAUACGUUUAUUGUGCGAUUUGAUCAUUAGCGCUAGGCUACCAA